rnacentral:rRNA from 1 species
AUUGAACGCUGGCGGCAGGCCUAACACAUGCAAGUCGAACGGUAACAGGAAGACGCUUGCUUCUUUGCUGACGAGUGGCGGACGGGUGAGUAAUGUCUGGGAAACUGCCUGAUGGAGGGGGAUAACUAUUGGAAACGGUAGCUAAUACCGCAUAACGUCGCAAGACCAAAGAGGGGGACCUUCGGGCCUCUUGCCAUCGGAUGUGCCCAGAUGGGAUUAGCUAGUAGGUGGGGUAACGGCUCACCUAGGCGACGAUCCCUAGCUGGUCUGAGAGGAUGACCAGCCACACUGGAACUGAGACACGGUCCAGACUCCUACGGGAGGCAGCAGUGGGGAAUAUUGCACAAUGGGCGCAAGCCUGAUGCAGCCAUGCCGCGUGUAUGAAGAAGGCCUUCGGGUUGUAAAGUACUUUCAGCGGGGAGGAAGGGAGUAAAGUUAAUACCUUUGCUCAUUGACGUUACCCGCAGAAGAAGCACCGGCUAACUCCGUG